rnacentral:lncRNA from 1 species
CCUUCAGUUCAACAGGAUGUCCAAAAACCAUUUUAGACACGCGUAAUCGUUUACAGCCCCCUUGUAAACGAUUACAAGGCACUUUGGCCAAAUCCUGCAAUUUGUGCAGNAAAAAAAGCCUUGUAAUCGAUUACAAGGUGCUCGUAAUCGAUUACGCGUGUCUCUUUUGUGUUUUGGACAUGCUGUUACACUGAAGGAACCACCUGUGNUNACCUGGAGGACCACANGUGAAUUUCUGAGUUUUUUAAGACAAGUUCACUACUUUUUCAGUGUUUAUGUUGUUUAGUGUGAGUGUAUGCUUGGAGGUGAUGUUUGGGAAACCCCAUCAUGGAGAAGGGAACUUUCCAAGUCAUAUGAGAGGCACUUUUUCAGUGUUUAUGUUGUUUAGUGUGAGUGUAUCCAUUAAAGUNAUAUUUUCAC